ACCAGCACUGACAAGGGGCCUGGAAUAUGGCUUGGUUCUGGUGAGUUUACCUCCUGCCGGAGGCAGACGUUAAGCAAACAGAACAUUCUGGUAACUGUGCAAACACUAACUGCAAUACUGGCAGUGUGUGUGUGUGUGGGGGGGGGUGAGUGGCAGGGACUUUAAAAGGACACCAUUGUUGAUUUCUUAUCGGGAUUAUGUCAAGUGAGUGAUUGACUUUUUUUUUUCUUUUCUUCCCGAGACAGGGUUUCUCUGUGUAGCUUUGGAGCUAGUCCUGGAACUCACUCUGUAGACCAGGCUGGCCUCGAACUCACAGAGAUCCGUUUAUCUCAGCCUCCUGAAAGCUGGGAGUAAAGGCGUGUGCUACCACCACUGCUCAAGAACACUGUGUUUGGCCCCAUGACCGUCCGGCUUUCCAGUGGAAAUUGAGGCUACGAGCAUAAGGCGCCGGCAGAGAGAGGCACAACUGCCUUCUGGGAACGAUUCUAACUCAGGUGACACAGAUCUAUUUUGGAAUAUCAGAGUUUUUCAGAAUUUGGUUCUCCCCCUCUACCAUGUGGACCCCAGGAAUCAAACCUGGCUGGUUGGGUUCAGCAGCAAGCACCUUUGCCCACUAAGCCAUCUCGCCACCCCCCAGGAUGUUUCUUCAAAUGUCUCUCCUGUCUAUAAUCUUUAGUACAUGUCACUUCCUCUUGCUGUCCUUCUCUUGCUCUUCUUCGCCCUGUAAUUGUUUGGGUUUUGUGUGUGUGUGUGUGUGUGUGUGUGUAUUUGUAUGUUUUUCUUCUUUUUUUGCUGAGUUGGGAUUUGAACCUAGAACCUUGUAUGCUUAGUGGACAUUUUACCACUAAGUCAAGACCCCUGCCCCCAGCCCCUCACUGGGGGAUUAUAAGCAGGGCUUCAUCAUAGAGUCAUGCCCCUAGACCUCCUUUCCUUUUCAUUUUGAGGCAUUGUCUCUCAUUAAGUUGUACAGGUUGGCUUUGAACUCACUCAGUA